GUGCACACACUUUGCAGGGCAUGUGUGUGUUCAGAAGGCUGCAGUGAUGCUGUGAACUGCACUACAGCCACGUGAUGUCAGAAACAUUCCUGGCUGGGAUCAGGGGAGUAGUGGCUUCCAACAGCUGCAGCUGCCCGCCCUGUUGGGAAAUAUCCUUGACCUGGAAAGACUACCUCAUUCAAGGUGAAAUGAUUUCCUAGGGUCUACCAAGGACCAAAAAUAGACUGGUUCAGGAAUGGUCAGCAACAGCUCUAUGGCUUCCGUGUGUGACAAGCCUGAAGAGCCCCCAUCCCCAGAGUACCAUGCUGAGAUGCUGCCUCCCAAGUGCCAAAACACCGUGCCGACUCUACUGAUGCAACAGUCUACUGCACACCAACCAGCUCAGAGCAACUCUGCCUCCCCCGUGUCCAUGCAUGUCUGCGUCUUAGAAUAAUCAUCAGUAGCCAUCUCUAGGCAAUUCCUGGUCUUGUGGUUUGACUCCAAAGAUUCUGAUCAACUCUUGUCUUUAGUGUCUUAUGAUUUCUACUUGCUUUUGCAGGAAAAAAAUAAACAAAACAGUUUGCUCUUGUAACAGUAGUAGAACUAGAGUUCAGCUAUAUUAAAAAUUAAAGAGGCAUUUGCUUAAUUAAAA